GAUGAACGCUAGCGGCAGGCUUAACACAUGCAAGUCGAGGGGCAGCAUGAUGAAACUUUCGGGUUUCAUUGAUGGCGACCGGCGCAAGGGUGCGUAACGCGUGAGCAACUUGCCCUUAUCAGGGGGAUAACCGGUGGAAACGCCGACUAAUACCCCAUAGCAUCACUUGAAGGCAUCUUUUAGUGAUUAAAGAAUUUCGGAUAAGGAUAGGCUCGCGUGACAUUAGCUAGAUGGCGGGGUAACGGCCCACCUAGUCUACGAUGUCUAGGGGUUCUGAGAGGAAGGUCCCCCCACACUGGAACUGAGACACGGUCCAGACUCCUACGGGAGGCAGCAGUGAGGAAUAUUGGUCAAAUGGUCGGAAGACUGAACCAGCCAAGUAGCGUGAAGGAUGAAGGUUCUAUGGAUUGUAAACUUCUUUGUUGGGAAUAAAUGAUACUACGUGUAGUAUUUUGCAUGUACCUUACGAAUAAGCAUCGGCUAAUUCCGUGCCAGCAG
rnacentral:rRNA from 1 species